rnacentral:tRNA from 1 species
GGGGGCAUAGCUCAGUUGGGAGAGCACCUGCCUUGCAAGCAGGGGGUCAAGGGUUCGACUCCCUUUGUCUCCA